GUCUAUGGCCAUACCAUCCUGAAUGUGCCUGAUCUUGUCUGACCUUGGAAGCUACGCAGGGUUGGGCCUGGUUAGUACUUGGAUGGGAGAAAGAAACACCUCAUUCUAGACC
rnacentral:rRNA from 1 species